rnacentral:rRNA from 1 species
AGUGAACGCUGGCGGUAUGCCUAACACAUGCAAGUCGAACGGCAGCACAGUAAGAUCUUGCUCUUACGGGUUGCGAGUGGCGGGCGUGUGACGAAUACAUCGGAAUCUACUUUUUCGUGGGGGUUAACGUAAGGAAACUUACGCUAAUACCGCAUACGCCGUACGGGUGAAAGCAUGGGAUCUUCUGACCUUGCGUGAUUGAAUGAGCCGAUGUCGGAUUAGCUUGUGGGGGGGGUAAAGGCCCACCAAGGCGAGGAUAGGUAGCUGGUCUGUGCGGAUGGUCAGCAACACUAGAGCGGGAACACGGUCCAGCCUACUACGGUAGGGAGCAGUGGGGAAUAUUGGACAAUGGGCGGGAGCCUGACCCAGCCGUACCGCGUGGGUUGAGAAAGCCUUCCGGUCGGAAAGCCCUUUUGUUGGGUAAGAAAAGCAGCAGGUUAAUACCACGCUUUUCUGACGGUACCGAAAGAAUAAGCACCGGCUAACUUCGUG